GGUUUUCAUAAAUAUAAGGAUUAAUAACAAAAUUCAGAAUUAAGAUAAAUGGAGAGGCGGCGUCUAAAAAAUAGAGUUGGGGAAGAGAAGAGAGGCUCUGAAUGGUUUCGUUCCCUCCGGCCGCGGCCUGCUGCAAAACAUGGUUACAAUUAUAACAACAUUGGAAGAUUGGUUCGAGGUUAGGGCAAGUGGCCCAGCCAUUCUUUCGAUCACUGGUCAACUACGAAAAUAACCCUAGUCUUUCUUAAAAUGACGGGAGAGUGUGCUGACACGCACGCUAGUCACGGGCGUCUCGGCUCCAGAGCCCCCCACACUCUUCUGCUCCAAAAUUUGAAUAACCCCAUCCACGCAACUACUCAGGACUUCGACAUGUGCACUGGAGACUAGACAAUUCACCCCUCCUAAUCAUCAAAAAAAUCAAAUCAACCCCUCCACGUGCCCGCCUCCUGAUAGAAGAAAAAAAAGGAAAGAAAGCCACUUUCGGUCGUUACUGAUUUUUAUUUUUAUUUUAUUUUUCUGGCCUUUCCAUGUGUUAGCAUGUCUGUCUGAGGAUUGGGGUCUUAGCUGGGCAAUCUGAUUGGCAAAUCUCAAUGACAUCAAUUCCAAUGCAAAAUUUGUAUUCAAUGUAUAUUUUUUUAAGUCAGUGAAAUAAUAUUGAAGAGUUCAUUUUUAGG